AACUGAUACUACCUGCGGGAACCUGCGGAGGGAUCAUUAUAGAAAAACAGUGAUUUCAAUAAGUUGCGGGGGGGAGAGGAGAGAAGGGGGUUGUUCAUACUCUGCACUUUUCCCUCUCUCUUGAUCCCUUGCUUCUUCAAACAAACUAUCGCAACUAGAAUAAUUGUUUGGGUCAUAAGGGGUGACCGUGACUUGGUUGGACACACACAAGAAAAGUGUUUGCCUGAUAUCUGAGCUUUU
rnacentral:misc_RNA from 1 species